AAGUCGUAACAAGGUUUCCGUAGGUGAACCUGCGGAAGGAUCAUCAAUGAUGCGAUACUUUGACUUUUUUUGGGUCGAAUACGCAAGAGGCUUGAAUGUGGAAUUCAUGCUCUCAACAACACAAACCAGGCCAAGUUUGGUGGCAUCUUUGCCUGGAGCGAGUCAAUAAAAACCAACCAGCGCAAAACAACUUUCGGCAACGGAUCUCUCGGCUCUCC
rnacentral:misc_RNA from 1 species